rnacentral:rRNA from 1 species
CCUACGGGAGGCAGCAGUGGGGAAUCUUGCACAAUGGAGGAAACUCUGAUGCAGCGAUGCCGCGUGAGUGAAGAAGGCCUUUGGGUUGUAAAGCUCUUUUGUAGGGGAAGAUAAUGACUGUACCCUAAGAAUAAGGUCCGGCUAACUUCGUGCCAGCAGCCGCGGUAAUACGAAGGGACCUAGCGUAGUUCGGAAUUACUGGGCGUAAAGCGCGCGUAGGCCGUUGAGUUAGUUAAUUGUGAAAUCCCAAAGCUUAACUUUGGAACUGCAAUUAAAACUGCUCGACUAGAGUUUGAUAGAGGAAAGCGGAAUACAUAGUGUAGAGGUGAAAUUCGUAGAUAUUAUGUAGAACACCAGUUGCGAAGGCGGCUUUCUGGAUCAACACUGACGCUGAGGCGCGAAAGUAUGGGUAGCAAAGAGGAUUAGAUACCCUCGUAGUCCAUACCAUAAACGAUGAUUGCUAGAUGUUGGAAAUUUAUUUUCAGUAUCGCANCUACNCAUAGUACAAUACCGCCGUCGGGUAGGUACGACCGACCGAACGGUUAAACGUAACGAAAGGAAAGUUAGUAACGGUCGUGUUAGACGUGCCGACGGACGACGACGAGGGAGGAGG